GGGUGAUGAAGGUCUUCGGAUCGUAAAGCCCUUUUCUGCGUGACGAGAGAGGACGGUAGCGCAGGAAUAAGUCUCGGCUAACUACGUGCCAGCAGCCGCGGUAAAACGUAGGAGACAAGCGUUAUCCGGAGUUACUGGGCGUAAAGCGUGCGUAGUCGGCCAUUUAAGUCGGGUGUGAAAUCCCCGGGCUCAACCUGGAAAUUGCAUUCGAUACUGGAUGGCUAGAGUUCGGCAGAGGGAAGCGGAAUUUCCGGUGUAGCGGUGAAAUGCGUAGAUAUCGGAAGGAACAUCAGUGGCGAAAGCGGCUUCCUGGACCAAAACUGACGAUCAGGCACGAAAGCGUGGGGAGCAAACAGGAUUAGAUACCCUGGUAGUCCACGCCAUAAACGAUGAGGACUAGACGUUGGGAGGGUAAGCCUUCCAGUGUCGCAGCUAACGCGUUAAGUCCUCCGCCUGGGGAGUACGGCCGCAAGGUUG
rnacentral:rRNA from 1 species